CGCCUCUUGAACAAAAAUAAGAGGUCCAGCCUGCCCAGUGACUAAUAUUCAACGGCCGCGGUAUCCUAACCGUGCGAAGGUAGCGCAAUCACUUGUUCUUUAAAUGGGGACUAGUAUGAAUGGCAUCACGAGGGUUAUACUGUCUCCUUUUUCUAAUCAGUGAAUCUAAUCUCCCCGUGAAGAAACGGGGAUACACCUACAAGACGAGAAGACCCUAUGGAGCUUUAAAUACCUCUUCAAACGUUGGACCUCCUCCCCAGUUUUAAACUCACCUAUAUUAACCCCGUACGCUAUGAAGACAACUUUAGGUUGGGGUGACCGCGGAGUACAACAUAACCUCCACGCUGAAUCAGACUCUUUAAGUCUGAACCAAGAGCCACUGCUCAAAGCACUAAGAAAUUAACAUCUAUUGACCCAAAACAUUUGAUCAACGAACCAAGUUACCCUAGGGAUAACAGCGCAAUCCAUUUCAAGAGUCCAUAUCGACAAAUGGGUUUACGACCUCGAUGUUGGAUCAGGGUAUCCCAGUGGUGCAGCCGCUACUAAUGGUUCGUUUGUUCAACGAUUAAAACCC
rnacentral:rRNA from 1 species